AGUUUCUUUGGUAAGCUGUGUCAAAUUUGCAUUGUGAAUACUACUUGUACUCACCUUUCUUCUUAGGUUUUCUCUUUACAUCACAUUUUUUCUCUAUCGUCUUGUUAGGCUUGCUAACCUUUUUCAUUCUUACAGCAACUUGGAUAGAAAGAAUGAUUUUUGGCCCUGAGUCCCUUAGAAAGCAAUUUCUGAUCUUUUCAGUUUGCAUGUGAAGAAGUGGAACAGCAGCAUAUGAAACCCUUUAUGGGAUAGAUCUUGACAGAUAGUAUUAUAUUUUAGAAAAAAACGAGUAUGCUUGCUGCCAGAAUGUGCUGCUGUCUCUGCCCCAAAUUCUAUUUUUAUUUCUGUUCUCCUUAGCAGAACAGAACAAUAAUAACACAUUUAUUUUUUUUUCUAUUGUUUUUUGAAUUAUUUUCUAGCCUAACUCCAAAAAAGAACCCUGCAAGUAGAGAUGAGGUCUUUGUAGAAUGGCACCUGCUGAUCCUCCGUGAGGCAGCCUUAUCUGGCCCAACCCUGCCAGAUCUCUUGGCAGUGCUGCAUUAUUCCUGCCAGGCAGCUUUUGCCAAGGUCAUUUGACUAGAAGGCCUCUGGAAAAAGAUUUCUUUCGCCUUGGUCUGUGAAGAUUAAGAAAACUACAAACAACAACAACAAAACAAACAAACAAAAACAAAACCAAAAAACAACCACAAAAGAGGAGGAAGAAAGAGAACCUUUCAUUGUCAUGGACUUCCCAGCUUUACAGAAAACAGAUUUCUUUUAAAUGAACAAGACGUGGAUUUCACCACUGCUCUUUCUCAUUUCUUCAGAGCCUGUAAAGAUAUUCUUUACUACUAGCUGCAUACCUGUCCCUGAAAUGAAGGGAACUGAUUAAGGCUUUUGCUUUUGGAACGGUAUUAAAGUAAUAGCAAUUCUGCAUUGUGGCUGGUAGUCUUUUAGUCAUGUUGGAUCAUAAAUGAUGAAAAUGGAAUUGUUUUGUAACCUCCAGUCAAUGAGAUUUGUUCCAGGUUUUAAGAUGCAUUCAGCUCUCACUGAACACGCCUUACUGCUUCAGAAGCAUGAUAAAAAUCUUUCCUGAGUUAAAUCUCAAGUCUGUCAUUGAAGAGGAAGUCUGCUAUGCAGAAACAAACUCCACUUCUCUCAUUUGCUCAGAGAUUGCUGGGAGGUGAAAAAGAAGUGAGAAAAGACAAGGAAAAAGAAGAAAUAAUGAUAAAGGUGUGUGCUUUUGAUACUCCAGAAAGUACUGGGGUUAGAAUCAGGCUGCCAGGAUGCAUAGCAGUGAGCGCUGGCAUGUGAUGUGAAUAACCGAUAUUAAAGCUGCACCCUUGUUCAGACCACAUCAGAAGUUGAAAAGCUGAAAAAUUAUGAGCUGCGUGUGGGACUUUAAAUUGCUGCUUUAAUUAAAAAGAACCCAUGGACAGAGGGUAAGUAGCUAAAAAUUUGUUUCGUAGAAGAGCUGAAUGUCCUUUGCUGCAGAGGCUGGACAGGCUGUACAGACAGUGGGGUAAGCUUAGGGAGGGGAAAGGAGCCCAUUGUAGGAAACACUGCAGUAGGGAUUUUGCUAUUUCAGCCUUUGCCACAGGGCCCUAGAUCAGAUUUUGCACAGAUGAUUGGCACCUGUUCUCUGUGCUUGACAGAGACCUCUAAAUUGCAGGAGGACCCCUGGGCUGUGCUUUCAACACGAAGCUUUAUAGAACACUAAGUACUUUCUGAAAUAAGGUUUCAGUUAUCUUAUACUGAGCAUCCACAUAAAAUGGAACAUUCUGACCUUGUUGUUUCAGUAACAGGAGAAAUGCAGUAUUAGUCACUUCAUUGUGCUUGGAGUUCUUCAAAGAUGUACUGGUUACUGUUUGCAAACCUUUUUUGCAAACCUGAAAAAUCUGGACAAUAAAUGCAAACAUAUUGAACUGUGUUUUGUUGUAUAUAUAUAUAUAUAUAUAUAAUUGUUAUAUAGUUUCUGUGACUACUUGAGUAUUCAGGAUGCACACACAGAAUACUCUAAAAGUAAUCUUCUCUUUCAAAAUACUUAUUUUAUAAACACAUAGAUCUGGACUUUGCUGUGAAAGAUUUUACUUUAAAUAGACUAUAAAAUCAGCUAUUCCCAGAGGCUGCUGACUCUUCUUAUUACCUUGCUUAAAUCAAAUAUUCUUUUGCAACUAGAAUCUUUAUUUGUUUGAAGGAGAGAUUCACAGAGGUGGUGGUAACAAGGAGUAGUUCAAAUAGGAAUAUACAAUACAGCUUAAUUAAUGUAUAAAGCUCAAAGAGAUAAUCACUCCUCCUGACUGCUGUAUCAUUAAGAUUAGAGGCUGAAAAAUCUUCCUUCCUGAAGGUUCUCAAGACAAAAAUAAAUCUGUGAGCUUUACAUAUUUCAUUUUUCAUUUUUAUUUCCAUUCAGUUUAACUAAUUGAACACAAACUGUAGGAACCCUGAGUAUGUGCACACAAAUGAAAAUAUGAAGUACCUUUUUUAUAAGCCUCAGAAGCCUCAGAGGAACUGUAUUACUUUCAGUCAGCAAAAACUACUUUAAAAAAAAAGAAAGAUAAAACCAUAUUUGAUAGCUGCUGAAAGAGAGUAUAAUCCAGAUACAGACAUUAUGGCACAACAUGCCAUGCAGUUUCAAUCUGCUACACUUUAGUAGCACAUCAGUCACAAUGAGCCCAUUGUGAAAAGUUCUCUUCUCUUUGUAUAUUUUUUUAGGAGACCCCCGGAGGCAGUGGGAAACAUAUUUUUGUAUGAGAGCAAACACACGGUCUUUGGGAUAAUCUGAACCAUUCUUGAUUGAUAAUUCUUAUAUGGAUCCUAAAAUGGAGGUUUCCCAGCUGUGCUUGAUGAGACUCAUAAUCUCAUCUAAUGCUGAUAGCUCCUGAAAGACUGUUCCAGAUCUCAUGAGUCCUGAAACAUGAGAUGGGUGGAGCAGGCCAUAGCAAGUGCCCACUUCACAGAGACCCCAUUCAAGCAUUGGGUGUCAGCAUUUGCCAGCAGACAGCAGUUGGAGUCAAGUCAGAGACAGGCAAUGACAAAUUUAGCAUCUUCCUCCAGUUGUAGAGGCAGCCUAGUGCACAUGCACAGACUUGUAGUAUGAGGAACAUGCCAAGGAGCUUCCAGCACCUCCCUGCUAUAAACAGCACCUGUGCUGCCAAAUGGUGGUGCUGCUGCAUGGUCAAACCCUUCCACAGUGCCUCCAAUUUAUGAAGAUGAUUCCCAGGGCCUGGCCUAACUUUCUUUGGAACCAAGAGAGUGAUGGAAUUAAAAAUCAAGAUCCUUGUUCCCCUUCUCAUGUGAGCAAUUCACCUGACCACAUGAUGUUGAAUGCUUUCUCAAGUUAAGCUCUCUGCUCAGUAAAUAAAAGCCAUUUGAUUAAAGGAGUGUGACUAAGAGCACACUCUUUUGUGUGGAUCAGCCUCCAGAGGCUGAUUUACCUAAAGAUUCAGAUUAAAGUUUUCUCUAGCCUUAUCUGUCUGCUACUCUGAAUUGCUUUCAAUGAAAUCUUGCAAGUGAUGCAGGAGUGAGAAGUUGCUCAUAUCCUUCAAAUGAGAAGACCUGUGUUUUUCUCAUGUGGCUUUUUUUUUUUUUUUUCCCAUGAGAUCAUGUCAAACUCAUUUGCAAACAACAGACUAUUUUUUUCCCAUCUUGCUAAAACUAAUUUUUUUGGCAGUAUUCUACAGAGAUGUUAGAAUAAUUUCCAUGGCUUGCAGGAGAUGUUCUGUGCUGUAUCCUUAGAGGUAAUGAACAAGAAACAGCAAAGGCAACUUCUCCUACUCCCUUCCCAUACUGCUGUGGGAACAAAUACCCAUCAGAAAAAAAGCCUACCAAAGCUGCCUUUAUGCCAGCUGAAGCAAUUGAUGAUAUAGCCUGCCCAAGACACUGUAUACGUUACCUUCCUGAGCCAAAGUGUAACUAUGAAUUUAAAAUUGGCCUUCACACAUGGAUUUACAGUGCACUAGAAGUAUAUUAAGACUUCAAAUCCAGAUAUAGGCCUCCAGCAGUGAGUUAACUAAGCCCCCAAACCUCCAAUCACUUACAAAUAAACUACUGCUUCAAGAAAACUGUAAGAAGAAAUACCCUAUGCUGAAUACUCUGUAUGUGUUCUGUACUUUACAGCCUCAUAGUGGCAUUAAGGGAAAAGUAAGUGGGAAACAAGGUUAGAAAACGCCAAAGUAGUGGUUGCCUGGGGAACUUGAAUUCAGCUUUUUUAUAGGUCAGUCUUUGAGCAUACUAUUGGAUACUGUUGUGAAUUUUAUUUAUUUAUUUUUAUAUAUAUAUAUUUUUUUUUUCUUUUUUUUUCUUUUUUCCUUUCAGCAUGGACAAAACAAUUGAUCUUCUUUUGUUAUUCUCCACUCAGAAAAAUGACUGUUGUUCUGGAACUGAAACUGAAGCUUAGAAAUUGCAUGGGAAAUUUCAGCCUAAGCAGUGAAAAACAAAGUGUUAAGCAAUUAGAAAGAGUGUCUUAUAAUGCAAAGAGCUGGGGACUGUUGAACCGCACUGUUCUAUUUCCAUCACCAAGCAGAAAUAGCUGUGUAGCAACGUGUAGCAUCUUUGCAAGAACAAUCUCCCAGAGAGCCCGUGGUUAAGACAACAGGCCAAACAGUCAGUUUGCACUCAUUCUGGACAUAAAGGAGGAAAAAGAAUGAGGAGAUCAAACUGCAGAAAGAGCUAUAAGAUUUCAGAGUGGAAAAGUGUCACCAGGAGCUACCCACUGCUACUUUGGUUAUCAGCUCCAGAGACAACAGCAACAAGGAUUUCAGAAAUAGUAGCCUAGGACUUUUGCUAUAGACUUAAUGGUGAUGGUCAAAAGAGAUGUAAAGUAUCUUCUGAAUCAGGUUUUCACAGCCAUCCUCAAGCAAAAAAAGAUGUAAGGAAGUCGACCAACACUUGGUUCAGGAACUUGGACCAUUUCAGAACACUGAGACCUCUGCUUUUAGCACAAAAAGGAUGUUAAUCAUCCAUUCUGUUUCAUAUUAAUAAUUUCUGUUAUUUGCUCUUGGAAUUACAGUUAUAUAGAUCUUACAGUUCUCAGGGGUAUUUCUUUUCAGCAUUUUUUUCAAAAAAGAAGAAUAAAACUAGCAAAAACCAAGCAAAACUCAAGAAUGUUCCCUCCUUCAACCAUUUAACAUAAUCUUAUAUUCAUAAUUUAAAAUUUCUGGAUGCAGCUGCUCUUUUAUAUUAGCUGUAUGUGUCUGAAAUCAACAGUUUCUACAAAAAGGUAAGUAUAGAGUUACUUGACAGGAUUGUAAAGAUAUUGUGUCUUUUAAUCAGAGGAUGGUAAAACAACAGUAUGGAAUAACACGUUUAUUUCAUCCUGCUCUGGCUGUGAUGGACUCAGUGCAGACUGCAAAGACAGAGAUGGAUGUAGCUUCAACAUGUUUUUUGUGGCCCUGCCUCAUGGAGCUACUGCAGUGCCAUUAGAUGAGUGAAAUAAUUACUUCUUCCUACACACCAUGUUGUAUCCAAGUAAUGUGGAGAAGACAUAGCAGACCCUUUGAGAAAAUUUCCUCACACAAGGAAAAGUCUUUUUCAUGGAUGUUUCCACAGCAAUAUGGAGAUGGCCAAUCUUAUAUUUUGGAUUUUCACCCCAAACCUCUUUCCCUAAGGGAAGAUCAUUCUUUGGAACAGAGCAGAUUUGUUUGAAACUCUCUCUUUAUUGAGUCAGUGCCUUUAAUCUGAGAUGUGUUGUGAAAAUUGAAAACUAAAUGGUUGAGGCAAUACUCCUGGUGGUUGCAUGGAACAUAAGCUUUGGCCAGGCAUGAUUUUUUUAGGUGCACUACUGUAGCUGGAUUGUUAAUAAAGUGCUGAGACAGCUCUCUCUCUCUUUUUUUUCCUUUUUUUUUUCCAGAUAGUUUUAUAGGAAAAUGCAGAUGUGAUUUAAAUAAAGGCUUAUGGCUUAUAUAUUCCUUGGACUUUUUGUGCUCUCUGUUCAAAAACGUCUGCCCUUUUUGGGCUUCACUCUGACAUUUUAGUGGGUUCAGCUCAGCUUACUUCAAAAGAAAAAAGGAUUAAUAGGAAACUUAGUGUAGGGCCUUUCAGAUGAGACCUUUCAAAAGGAUCAUUGUUGCUCUGCUAGCCUACUGAAGUUCUCGUCACACUCUGUAAUGCUGAUGUCUUCACGGCCCUAGUAAAGCAUACAGACUCCGGAAUGAAAAAAUUAAUUACGUUGAGAGUUUGCCUCUGCAAAGUAUUGGCUGUUCUAUACUAUAAGUACAUGCUAAUUUUUAAGCUGAUUGAUAUACUGUCUACACUGGAAUUAGAGUUGUGGGUAUGUGGUUGAGGGGAAAAACAUAGUUUUCUGCUUCAAUAAAGGUAUGAUUCUUAUACCCAGUAUAAAUUUCAGGAUCCACAUGCUUGCAUGAAGUGUUGCCUGCACGCCACAGAUCAUUGCAAAAAAACCAAAACCCAAAGUGAAAAAACAUCUUCUAUGACUCUCUUUUUCCUUGGUCUCUUGUCAGGUGUGAUAUACUGUCUUAAUAUAGAAAGGGUUACAGUGGGUUGCUUCUGGACACUUCAGCAAUUUCCUUCAGGGCUACUGCCAAGAUUUUAUCUUCUUUUAUUAUACUUUGCAUUCUUGUUAAUGUGUACUUAAACAAACAUUGAUGUUGAUAUUUCUGCUCCAUUUAUUUCAUAUCAUUGGAUACAUUGGAUAAAAGCACAGGUUACCAUUACUAUUUUGUAAAGUUUCCUCACUUGCUUUGUGCUCCCUGUAGUGGCUUUAUAGUUUUCUUUUGUUUGCUGUUUUUGUUGUUGUUAUUGUUGUUUUUUGUUUUGUUUUGUUUUGUUUUGAUUUUUCUUUCCUGUCAUGGAAGAGACUGUUACUACUGCUUACAUUUAGAAAAUAAACAACAAUUGACUGUUGUUUCUGCAGACUUUUAAUGAAUAUUUAGAAAACCUCAUAUUUUUUAAGUCAGAGGUGUGAUGGAUGUGGAGAACUGGUAUUUCUAAGAUGUGUUAGUCAUGAUGCAAAUCUCAUGUUGACCUCAGAGGAACUGCUAAGGGUUAGUAGGGACUGCAGGAUUAUUCUCAGUGUACUUUCUCCCCUUCACAUUAUUUGCCUGGCAGUAUAGCAGUCAUGCAAUAGAUGAAGAUGAGAUGUUUUUCCUAUCAAUCUGUCUAUAGAGAAGUAUUAUGACAAAUGGAGAACCCCUGUAGAUGUAUAAUCUUAAUUAUGAUUCACAAAAUAUUCAAUACUGGGAAGCAGGAUUACUGUGAGUGAUAGUGAUUAAAGAUGGCAUCACUCCACCUUACUUUGUAAGCCUUGCUAAUGCUUCCAGCUUCCUUUGAGCCAGACAGAGAAAACACAUGGGGAGAUAUCUUGAUAUUUAGCAAAAUGCCUGCUUGGGAUUAACUGACCUUUGCUAUAAAUCAGAAGCAAAGUUGCCAGCUGGGCACUUUCAUAUGCAGACAGCAAGAAAAUGAGUAGAAGAGCUCUCUGAAGCAAAACACUACACAUGUAUUCUGCUCCCCAUCCCCCCUCCAUAUUCUGCCUCUUAUACUAUAAUAAUGCAGCUAUUACCGAGGGUAAACUAGAAGAGGUGUUUCAGCUCCAGUGUCUCUUCAUCCUUUCACAGCAAGCAUGACAAUUCUGCACGAGUUCAUAUUGACUAUUUAUUUUCAAAGGAAGCUGUUUGGCUGGCAUGAAGGGGGAAAGUAUGAACUGACACAGCAUACAAAAUACUGUUAUUUUAUGUUUUUACCUACAUUACUAACCCAGCAAAAACACAGAAAAACUAUUUUAACAGUUUAUAUCGAUAAGAUAUAUGCAAGUAAGUCUUUCUGAUUCAAAACAUCUCACAUGCAAGUUGAUCUGAUUUAGGACAGUUCAAGAGCUGACCUGUCUGGCUGCUGUGUAUAGCAAUGAUCCCUCUUUAAUGUGUCAGAAAAAACCCACUAUGUUUACUAGGAUUGUUCAUGUGCAAAACAGAGAUAAAUGACAACAGAAUAAGUUCCAAGUUUCUGGAAUAGUGCUUUUUGUGUGAGACCAACCACAUCUAAGCUUGUGGCAAAGAAGCACCAAUAAGGGCUAUCAUGCUGCCACAUGCGGAGACUUCACAUUUAACUGAGGGAUGAACUUGAUCUCUUUGCUGCACAGCAUUACAUUUCCCUGGAGCUGCACCUAUAAGGAGCUCUGCAUGAUUCAAUUUUAAUGAAUGUCUUCACAAACAGUACCCAUAUGCAGAAGAGAUUUAUUUUUUUGCAGGCUCAACAAAGUCUGAGUGGUUAGAUCUACGCAAAACAAAAAAUAAAAACUAACAUUGAGAAAAUGUGCUAUAUUUUCCACUAACUAUAUUCGUUUAGGAAACAGAAGCUCUUGUUCUAAUCUCAAAGGGGUUACUCAUGUUCUGCACAGUGUAUGUUCAGACUCAGACAACAGUUUCGUUCUGGGCUACACUUCAAAGAAAUGAUAAAACACGCAUUCUCUUCUGUUUUGUCACAGAUAAAGAGUGCAGGAAAGGCUCCUUCUUGAGCUUUAUGAGGAAAGUGUUAUUCAAUAAGCUGGUCACUGAAAUCCAGUACAAUGCAGUUUUAUCUUGAUAUGAAUCAACUUUUAUUUGCAUCUGUAUGUAGCAGUUAUGUGUUAUCAUCAUGUCUGUCUUCUUCUUGGAAGAUUUUAAGUGUCUGUGAACACAUGGACAUCCCAGACUCCCUUCCACAGUGUCUCCACCUUACUUUGCUGUGCUUAGUAUGUGGAGGCAGGUUCCAGUCCCAGUUCUUCUGGAGACUGGCCAGUUCAUGUUGCCAGUACAUCUGUUGUUUUUCUCCAGCUUCCCAUGGCACUGUCUCAGUAGAGUCACACUUCUCCAGGUCUUCAGUAUAUCUGUGCUAUGUAAUCUGGGUGGGUAGAGCAUGAUGGACAGCAGGAUGCGACAUGUUCCCCCAGAAUGGGAGUGUAUCUAGGUCCUUUCCUGUGGCUGGCUGGGAACAUGGAACACUUGAUCUGAACCACGUUGUUGGCUUUAUUACUUGAACUACAAUUUUUGAUAUAAAGGGUUCCACACAGUCUGCAAAUGUUUGACCCAGUAUAAUGUAUAAAUCCUCAGUUAAAAAUCUGUCAUGUAAUUUCAGCUUUUCUGAUUUGGUUCUAAGUGCUAGCUUCAUCCUCAGCUCUAACAGCAGACAUUAAUGAAUUUACCUGAGCUAUUCCACCUUUCUCUGGGCUUUGUCAUACUCCCCGGUAAUAGGAAGGGGCUGUAGAGAUGGUUAGGUGGUGGAAGUGGACCGGGUCCCAAGCAUCUUUCAGCCCAUUGGAAGAUUUUCUACAACAGGGAACUUCUCUGCUAGACCUUGUGCUCUGCUAUACAUGUGUAUUGCAAGAUCAGCACAAGUCUCUAAUGUGCUUUUCUGAUCAACUUGUCCAUGAAGUAAGACUCACUAAUGUUUGUCAUCUUUGGCUGGGGCAAUGGUCCAGUAUUCAGAUUUACUCAUCAAGGAAAUACAGUUAAAAUACCAUAGUUUGUAGCUUUAGAAUUUGUUUGCAACCCUUAGCCCAGCAUUUUAUUGAAUGUUUCAUUUAGUUGAGAGCAAUGAACAGUGAUGGUAUUUUUCCAAAUUGCAAACAAACUCAAAAUUACCCAUCUGGAUUACCAGCUGAGUAGACCUCUGCAAGUCUGCGUCUCACUUACUGUCACACUAAUGAUCAUAAUGACAGCUCUGUGUGAAUAUCCUCUUGCUUCACCCUUUUUAUUGCUCUGGAACCUACUCAAGAAUAAUUAGAUCAACGUCAGAUAUUCUGAUCCAGAGCAUUGAGCAGAGUGAUAGUAUGGUAUCAAAAUGAUGUAGAAGGCUCUUUUCCUGAUAAGAUAAACAAAUGUGGUGAUUUAACUUAUAAUAGGAGAUCGUAUAAGGAGCUAGACAAAAUACCUUCGGGUGUGCUAGGACAAGAACCAGAGAACUAGAAAUAUACUUUCCUGAAAAUGGAAUGAGGGGCAAAAGACUCUUAAUACAAGAUUCUGUAAGUUACUGGAAGACAGAGUUGUGCAGACACUCUCACAGUGUUGUGGAUGCAGGGGGUGAAUAAUCUGACUCUUUGUAGCUCAGUGACCUGAUACUGCUCAUGGCUGCACUCUGGGCUUCAGGACAUAAAUUUUCUGGUUUAAAAAAGUAUUUGAUUGAUUAUCUCUGUCUUUUGUGAAGAUAAUCUGAAAAGUAUAAAUCAUAUAUCCAAACUGAAAGUUGCUCAAGACUGCAAACAGCUUGACAUGUUGUCUGGAAAAGAAAUGUGAGACUAUUUGCUGUUUCUCCACUGCUCUGCUCUGCUGGCCUGGAGGGCUGCCCUUUGUCUGCAGUGUAUUAGUUGAGUACACAUCUCUGUUUCAUCUGUCCUGGUAUUUCAGUGUAUGGGGUGGAAAGUGUGGGUCAUAAAGAAGGAAACCGCUGGGAACUUUGUGCAAGGAAAGUAGAGAGUAAACAAGGGAGUUUUGUCUUUGUGUAGCUUAGCGAUGUUUCUUCGGGUUCAUAGCACUACGUAACUCAAAUACGACUAUAAGACACUGCAAAUUUUCUUUAGUAUAUGCAAUUUCAAUUUAUUACAAAAUGCUAUUUUAGAUAUUUAGCCCAUAGUGGAAAUUCUACACCAUUCCCCAUCCCCCAGCCACUUUUCUAGAUAAAUACUUUGAAAUAACAUUGUUUCAGAUUUACAGCAUGUAAAAUAAUAAACCAGCAAGACAGGAUAAUGGUGCAUUAAUGGACUAUAAAUACAUACUUGGGGUACACUGUAUAUGUAAGGCUGAAGACCAAGGGCCUUCAACCACCUGAAAUUACUAUUAAUGAUCCAUUAGCAUGUAAUGAAGUAUACAUAAUGUCUCUAUUAACAAGAAUACAUAUCAUCUUUGGGAAAAGAAAAAUGUAUUUUGUUGUAGUGAUAAAGGCUGACCUAUUAAUUAAAAGAAAGAAUAAAGAAGCAAUACCUCUGGAAAGUUUUAAAAUGUUUUCUAAAUGUUCUUGCUAUUUGUAAGAGGUGUAAUCAUAGAAUCAUAGAAACAUUUUGGUUGGAAGAGAACCUUAAGAUCACCAAAUCCAACCAUACCUUAACUCUAGCACUAAACCAUGUCCCUAGGAACCUCAUCACAUCUUUUAAACAACUCUGGGCAUGGUGACUCCACUACUUCCUUGGGCAGCCUGUUCCAACACCUGACAACCUUUCUGUGAAGAAAUUUUUCCUAAUAUUUAAUCUGAACCUUCCCUGGCCCAACUUGAGGCCAUUUCCUCUCAUCCUUUCACUUGUUACUUGAGAGAAGAGACUGAGGCCCCCUUGUUUCAACCUCCUUUCAGGUAGUUGUAUAAAGCGAUAAGGUCUCCCCUCAGCCUUCUUCUCUCCAGCCUAAACAACCCCAGUUCCCUCAGCUGGUCCUCACAGGACUUGUUCUCUAGACCCUUCGCCAACUUCAUUGCCCUUCUCUGGACUUGCUCCAGCACCUUAAUGUCUUUCCUGUGGUGAGGGGCCCAAAAUGGAACACAGUAUUCAAGGCGGGACCUCACCAGCACUGAGUACAGUGGCAAGAUCACUUCUCUAGUCCUGCUGGUCACACUUUUCCUGAUACAAGCCAGGAUGCUGUUGGCCUUUUUGGCCACCUGGGCACACUGCUGGCUCAUAUUCAGGCACUGUUGAGCAACAUCUCCACAUCCCUUUCCAGCCACUCUUCCCCAAACCUGUAGUGCUGCCUGGGGUUGUUGUGACCCAUGUGCAGGACCCAGCACUUGGCCUUGUUGAACCUCAUGCAAUUGGCCUCAGCCCAACUAGCCUCUAUUCUUUCACCUUCUGUGAAGAUUUAUUCUGCAAAGUCCUGUGUGUGUUUCUAUUCUUCCACAGGAAGUGCCUGGAGAUGCAGCUAAGUGCUCUUGUCUACCAUGUGAUCAGAUUCAUGAGGAGUGGAAAACGUCAUUGAAUUUCAAUGGAGUAGUUAAAACCACUCAUGCCAAUUUAGUAUGAUUUGGCAUUCAGAAGGUGAACAUACCGCUGUUGUGGAUGGGAUUCUUAUCUGGAUGUACUUUGAGUGAAUAGAUACAAAUUUACACCUACCUUGGUUAAUUCCUCUGGGACACAGAUGAGAUUAGUGUUCAUCAUCUAAAUCAUUAUUCCCAUGGUAGUUGUUUACCAUUUGUUUAGACUGAAAAGGUAUAACAUAAAGACACUGAACUCAAAAGAUGAUUUUUAACAUUCUUUCUGAAUAAAAAUGCAUCUAUAAAUCCAGAAGCAAAAAGAAAAAUGAAAUGCAGUCUUGCAGAACUGAAAUCUAUUUCCAUUGUCUCAAGUCUCUAAAAAAGUUAUUGCAAAGAAUAAAAGAAUAAGGUGAAAUCAGAACAGAAAUGUAAGGGAUGUCUACAAGAAUAUGCAACCCAAAUGUCAGUUACAGGCUUUCUUUAUCCUGCAUUUUCUCAGUGUCCUGUAUAAGGAAAAUGUGCUAGUUACUAGUACACUGGUGAUAUGAUGGAAUUGCAUACCAUUGAAUACAUCCUACAGAAAUUAAAAACAGAAGCUGGGAGUAGUAGGAAAGUCUCUGAGUCUGCUUGGCAUGGAUCACAUGGGAACAAUGCAGUUAGAGGUAAAUUCAUCCUGUUGAAAAAGUAAAAAGUCACACAAUUGCCCAAACUUGAAUGGAAUGCCAACCUUAGAUUUAUUUUUCAUGUUUGUGCUUUGUUAUUUUUAUGGUUCAGGCGAAGGUCUGAAGAAGAAUGGCCAGAACAGCAUAUGAAAAACUGUUCUUGAACAGCUAUUUUUUAUAGUUUGAGCACAAGCAAAAGGAAUGGAAAAUCUUACGAGAAAACUUUUUUUUUUUUUUACAGGAUGUUCUGUCUAAUCUGUAGGUUCAGAGAGUCUGAGUAGUUUGGAAAACAUAAAUUUUUCAUCUUUCCCUGACCAAAUGCUAGUUGCUUUUUACUUCUAUAGCUGACACAAAUAGAAGACAAAGAUAAAUGGGAUAAUCAAUAGCAAUUUGAUUGCUUUUAAGUGAAGAGCAUGGAAAACUGUAACGAAAAAGAAAGGAACUCUCUGGAAAUCUUGUGUCAACUAUAGCUUUAUUUUCUCUUUUGUCUUUUUCUUCUAUGAUUAUCUAACACAAGGGACUAGAAUAAAUGGACCCAGAUUCUUCUGAGAGGUAUGGAAUGAUGUGACAAGAGGUAACAGACACAGGUUAGAACACGGAAAAUUCUGACUCGACAUGAGAAAGAAUGUCAGCAUGGAAAAUUUUUGGAACAGGUUGCCCAGAGAGGUUGCAGAGUCUUCACCCUUGGAGAUACUCAAAGCACAACUGGACGUGACCCUGAGCAACCUGAUCGUUAUUAGCCCUGCUUUGAGCAGGGGGUUGGACUAGGGCCCUCCAGAGGUUCCUUCACCCAAGAUUAAUCUAUAAAUCUGUGCAUUUAAUGAUAUUACCUAAGCUGCUUUUGUGGUCUGUGAAAUGUUUCUGAAUGUAAAAACACACAUGAAUGUGGCAACUGUAGACAAGAAAACAUUAAUUUAUGAAAUCCAGUGGUAUGUUGAAUCUAGUUUAGCAUGAUGAUGUGUGAAAUUAACACAUCAGUGUGGACUAAGUAGAAUAAUUAAUCCUUUCAAAGAAGUGAUUGUUCCUACAUGGAUGCUGAAAUGGAAAUGAAGACCUGAUUUGGUCAAUGUUUAACAGUUAAAUUGAUUUGACAGUGGUUCACCCAUAUCCUAAUUGAUAUAGGAUUAUAAAUGCGUAUAUUUAUGUCGGUUUCAAAGAUGUAGCAUUUGAAAGGAUACAUGUCAGUGAUGGGAGAAACCUUUCACAUUAUACUAGCAAUUUAAAAGAGAGAAAAAUAUUUAAUAAUUGUUCAGUUAGGAGGCAAUAAUUAGGCCUGCUGUGCAAACGUGUCCUAUCAUCAAUGUAUAUGUUAUGGUAGAAAAUGGAAUUACUCUGUCAAACUCUCUAGGCCGCUACCUAGAUAGUGGAUCUAGACUGGAAUGCAUGGAGAGCAGAGUUGUUCAGACUGCAGCUAAGGAAAAGAGUAACAAAUUCAUAAUUUGAAAUAAACACUUUGUUCAGAUGAACUGAAUGUGAUUUAGGCAAGGAAGUUAUGAACCAGGAUAACAUUUCAUUGGACUUUUGCUUAAAUACAUUAUCCCUUCCUGUGACCCCCAGCUCUGCACUUUCUAGGCACGUGUUUUUUUGUGCAGAUUAAAUGUUUUUGUAAGGUCUUUUGCAACACCAAGGGAGCUGCACUUCUGAUGUGCAAGGGUGAGGUACAAGCAGGCAGAGACACACAGCUGAAGGUGAGGUCUUGGUACAUUUUAAAAGCCUUUGCAAUCUGUGAUAAAUUGAUCUCAGUGAUGUGGCUAAAUGGACUUUCAGGUUAGGGACAGAAAACCCCUUCCCCAAUCCCUGCCACUUGUGGAGAUGCACUAUUGUUCACAUUGGCUAGAACAGUCUUCACUGCCAGUUGUAUUUCUGCAUGAGUAGCAAUUUUGUUGUUGGUAAGAAAGGCACAAGCACAUUUUCGUCUUUGACCUGAACAACAUCUUGUCUAUUUAUCUGUUUAAUUUAGGAGGAAAAUGUGUGUUGUCUCAGGUAAAUAGUUAUUUUUGCUUUGCUUUUAUACUAGCUUUCUAAAAAUGCUUUGCCCAGGCUUGACUUGACUUCAUAUUGCAGCAUCUGUAUAAGUAUGUGUCCUGGUUUUGUUAAAAACAAGACCAGUUUCUCUUAUAGUGAAUUUUCCCUUCAGCUAAGCCCUUCUUAGUAAUUGCACUUUUUUGAAGGUGGAUACAUGUUCUGGUAGACAUAGCAAUAGAAUGCAAGGUCGCAGAUAAGGAUGCACGUCCCGUAAAUGAGAGGGACAAAGAGGAGCGAACUGAACAGGUGACUAAAACCGAUCAAUUAAGUAUUCCAUCCCAUCCACAUCAUAACACCAUAUAAAAGUGGGAGAUCACGAGUGUCUUGUCCCUUUUUUCCUUCUUCGACUAUGGCUGACAUCUGGGGAGGACCCUGUCUGCCAUCCCUGCAAAUCUGAGGGACAGACCCUGCAUCCUUGAAUCCAGUUCCGGUUUGCUGCAGCGUCCAACCCAGGACUUCUGGGUGCCUGCUGUGCUGCUGCUGGAGCAGUGUGGAGCUUUGCCGGGAAUGUCAAGAUUAGUUUUGUAUAUUUUGUAUUAUUUUCUCUAUUUUAUUAGUAGCGUUAGUAAAACAUUUAAAACUUUUUCCGACUCUCUCUCUCUUUGUCUCUUUUUGUCCUCCUAUCGCCUCUACUUAGUGGGAAGCGGGGCUGAAGGGGCUGGGGGGAGGGGGAGUUAACAAAGCAUCUGCCACCAUUUAUUGUCAUCCUGCAAUCAAACCUUGACAGUAUGGCAUUUUGUUAUAUUGGUAGUCUUUGUGUUACCUAUUGAGAAGUAAGUCCUUGAAAGAUAACUGUAUUACAGCUUCAUAUUUGGGACACAUAGAAAUUUAUUUGUGAGUAUGGGUUUUUCAUAUGUUACAGUGAUUUUAUUUACAUAAUCCUCAGGAAAAAUAUGUCUGGGAGACACAUUACAGAAGACCAUAACUCAUUUUGUAGAAGGGAAGGCUUGGCAUAAACAGUCUGUGUCUGCUUCAGCCAUUCUCUAGAAGUUAAAAUAGCAUCAGUCAUGGUAGAAAAUUAAGAUGUGCUUGCUGCAUUUCAGCCAACCAAAACUCUGUGUAUAAUGUGCUUGAAUGACUCUUGAAACAGCUGAACAUUGUGUGUCUGACAAGGUCUAGCAGACAAUGUUGUCCUAGCCCUCUCCCCUCCUAUCUGAUAACCAGCUAGCUUAUUUUUUUUUCCCAUUUGACACUAUCAUUUGGGAAAUCCCUUUUUAUCUAUGACAUGUUUUUAAUCUAGUAUACUCCUGUUAAAGAUCUAGUGAAAAUACCUUUCCAAUAUUAAGAUAGCAAGAAGAAUGUUGUUGUAAUCUUGACCUAAGUUAUGUCUCUUAAGCUGUCUGUGCACUGAAAAGUAGAAGAAAUGUUUUGACAGAGAAAAACAUUUGUUGUCAGCUUUGUUUUAUCCAUGGCUGAGAAGGGAAAUGGAAACUAUACUUCAGCAGGGUGCAGACACUGAUGGCUAAAAUGAUCUUCUGCUAAAACAAAUUAGAAGAGAGCUGUUCUGCUUUAUGCCUCAUUCUUUUUCCAGUGAAAAGUGCAACUAAAGGAAUGGCUUGUGUGUUGGAAAGAAAUGUAGAAAUCUUUAAAAUAAUGUAAAUAGUGACCAUGAAAGAAGCACUACUUAUAUAAUAAAAUGGAAAAAAAAAAGUAUGGAUGGUACAGCGUGAAGGGUUUCUCUGAGUGUUGGUAUCAGUAAUUUAAAGAUGCAUAAGUAUAGUCUCUUUAAGUUGUCAUUAAUUUCCAUGUUUUGUGUAAACAUGGCAGUGACAGAAAGAGUUCCACAGCUGGAGGCAACCUUAAGUGGAAGAAGGCUCUCAUGGCCACAACUCCUUGAGACCUUGUCAAUAAGAAACAGAGUGACUGCAGUGUGGCCUGUAUUUAUCGAACUUGCUCUUUCUUUGCUUUUCUCCCUUCUGACUUAUUAGCUUCAAGAGCUGGCUCCACCUGUCAAGUCUCCCUACACUGUUCUUCCUGUUACCUGGAAAAUCUGUUUAGCUUGGAGGUAGCUGAAAAGACUGUAAGAAAAUUCUGUAAGAAAAGACUGUAAGAAAAAUGUUGACAGUCUUAGCUUGGAGUCUCUUUCUGACACUUCUGCUGUUGGUUUCUUCAUGUGACACUCAGCUCCAAACACAGCACAGAGCAAUUCUCAGGGCUGAAGUUGUACACUUAAAAAUCUAUACCUGGGAAGCUACAAAGCAUUUGUUAGAUCACAUAUGAGGUAAGCCCAGCUCCGUCAACCUCUUCCUAGCUAAUGACAACAUUAGUAGUCCUUUGCUGAGCCUCUUCUGGUUUCUCACCACCCUUCUGGAUCAGGCUCAAGGGAUCUGAAACUUGAUGUAGCAUGUUGCAGCCUCACCAGUGCCGGGCACAGGGAAGUAACUUCCCUCUAUCUGCUGGCCAUGAUCACAUGUAAAACAACAGCCCAUGGUUCACCUUGCAUAGAAAACAAAGAGAACAAUUAGCCAUACAAGUAUGACUUGAGGCAUGAAGUUCAUAUUCUGAGUUCAGAUACUUAAAUGGCAGAAAUAUACUUUAAGACAAUGUUACAUAAUGAACAGAUGCAAAUUCAUGUACAUUUUGUUAUCUAAGCCCAGGCACCUUUGUAACUAAAUUGUUUGCACCUAUUACCCGCCAGACUCUGUUUGCAAUUCUGAUUAUUUCACAUGGGUAAGUUAUAGGGUUGUGUAUAUUUUCUUUAAUUUUUUCCCUUGUUUGUAGUAAAAAAAUAUAAAUACAAAUGGGAAAUGUCUCUAAACACUCAGUGUAUGUUUGAAUCUAAUUUAUGAAUAUUAAUUUGUUUUUCUGUGUAACUGAACUAGUAUGCACAGUAGUUUCUCAUUCUUUUCAGUCUGACAUGCAUUUUAGGUCGUCUUUAUAUAUCCUUUAAUCCUUGCUCAUCAUUGAUUUGCUUUUGCUGAAUUUCUUCAGAAAAGAAAAGCACUAGCUUUUCACUCUGAGUAAAUGAUGAAUUUUACCUCAAAUGCACACAGUAGUUGCUACAUUUCAGAAGGUUAACAAAGCUGAAGUUCAAUUACCGUCCCGCUGCCCCCCAAAUAUUGAGAACCUCAGUACUCUCAGGGUUGAGAAUACUCUCAUCAAGGGGGUCUCAGGUUUUUUAUCUGUUACUGAUGUAUCUUUUUCUGAUGCCAGCUCUCCAUCUAUGACAACUUUCAGGUUCAAUUGUUAUUUCCAAUUUCUUUCAAACUUUUUUUUUUUUUUUGAGUUGUAUACUUUUUCAUUAUACAGUGCGUUUCAAAAAGAUGGACCCAAAUUCAUACAGCCUGUAUUUCAAAUCAGGUCUAUCAAUUUGCAACACUCCAUAACCCUGUAGUUCACAUAAUCAUUAUACCUUUAGGAAAAAAUAAAAUAAAAAUCUCCAACAAUUUCCCCCCACUACUCCCCCAACUUGAUCAGCAUUCUUGUUCUUUCCAAAAAUCAUUUUUAGCUUUCUUUUUCCUGUGAAAGAUGAAAACCUGUAUUUAUUGGUUUUCCUGGAAUUCUUUGAGGUCGAUGAAAAUAAGAUAAUUAUUAACUUCACAGUAUCAGAAAUUUUCCCUGUAACAAUAAUAUCCUGUAACUUAAGACUGCAGGCAAAAAAUAAGUUUUGUUCGACAAAUACCUAACUUUACAUAGUUCAUCAUAAUCUCCUUUUUCUGUAGCUCCAAAGAAACGGCAUGUUUCUUUCAUAGACUUGCUGUCCCUAAAUUUAGGCGGUACAACGUGAAAUGAAGUGUUUCUUUGUCAAACCUUGUUUCAGUUACAGUGAAAUUGUCAAAUGUAAGUGGCAGGCAGGGAAAUCCUGUCAUUCAAGUGGAGAUGGACUGGUGGUGAGACACUGGAACAUGCUGCACAGAGAAGUUGCGGAUGUUGCAUCUCUGCAAGUGUUCAAGGGCAGGUUGGAUGGGGCUUUGAGCAACCUGGUCUAGUGGAAGGUGUCCCUGACCAUGGCAGUGGGGUUGGAACUAGGUGGUCUUUAAGGUCCCUUCCAACCCAAACCAUUCUAUGAUUUUAUUAUUGUAUGCUGUAGUUCACAUGAAUCUCUGCCUGAUUACGGUCACUCUCUAAGUAAUACUAAAGUCAAGCUAACCUUUGGUAUCAAAAAUACACCCUGAGAGUCUUAUUUGUUGCUGUCAUAAUGUGAAUAGUAGUCAUACCCAGACUGUUUGCAGUGGAGCUGUUAUUUUUUCCUGAAUGUUAAGUAUGUCUUUUUUGUUUGUUUGUUUGUUUGUUUGUUUGUUUGUUUUUGUUGUAUCGUGAUAUAUUAGAAACAGAAAGCUAUGGCAGAAAAAAAAUCUGACUACAAGUAGAAUUUUAAACCAUUAUUUUGCAUCUAUGGAUGCUAAUUCCACUUCUGAACUGGAGGUUCUUGUGGCCAAGGUAUGUGGACUGCACCUAGGAGAACUGUUGCAUGGAUGUUUCUUGUCCUACCUUUCCUUUGCUCUGGAUGUAAUAUUUUGUAAAAGACUAUUGGAGGAGCUGCUGAAACUACUACUAAUCUUUGCUUGUAACCUCCCUCUUCCCCUUCCUCCCUGCAGUCCAAGGACUUCCCUGCCACUUGCCUAUACCUUGGCUAUUUCCUCAAUUAUUUAGGAGUAUUUUGCUUCCUUUAGUUGGAUAAAAUUCUUCUCAUUAACAAUACUUUGCCUUGCCUACAUACCCAAUGUCUUAGGAAGACUGCAAAUGUUUGUCUCAUGUUUUUCCUAUCUUUUUCCAUAGAAAUAUCUGAUAGCUUUUGAUCUGAAGAUCUCACUACAGUCGGAAGAAAAAUGAAACAGUAAAAUACAGCAUGAUUAUCUCAUUUUGUAAUCUGGUGGCCUAAAUGGCCUAUGGCCAUGGAAGUGUGAAGUAACAUUGACAAAUCAACAUUUGCAUUCUAGUUUCUCUGAAAAAAUGACAACUCUAUUGUGCCAUACACAUAGAAACAAAGACUUGAAAUAUUGACGCUAAUAAAAUACUUCAAAGAAUGCCCUGCAGUCUCUGUAUCUAAGAUCAGAACCAUACUGGGAGAAGGCAGCAGCUUUAAUGACAAAACAGGUGUCAUAAGAGAAAUGCAGAAGAGCAUGCAAAUUUUUUGCAGUCACGUCUUGAAGAACUUUUAGUUUUCUCAAGAAAAUCUGAGGAAAAACUAAGGGAUUUCAGUAGUAUAACUAUAUUUGUACCAAGGUUUUUUGCACUGUAUAAGCAAGUAUUGCUAGCUUUAUAAUGGCAAACUGCAAUAUAAUGAACAAACAGAUAGGUAAAUUUGCAUCUGAAUACCACUGUAAAAAUAUUAUAGAAUCUAAUAUCAUCAAAUGCAUCAGUUGAGUGACAUUAUGUAUAAAUAUUUUAAAUCUAAAAUAUUAUAGAUUAUUUGAGACUAAUUGACCUUACAUGCUGGAAAUUUUCAGUAUUUUAUUGAAGUUGUUCAAGUCUUUCAAAACUUUCAAUGCUUUAUUAUUGGCUAAUAGCUAUAUAUAAUCAUUACUUACCUGAGUCUGAAUUUUAAUAUCUGCAUUAUUGAUUAGCUGUUCCAUUAAGAACUGAAUUUUGUGAGGUAUGGGGGCAUUGCACUCAAUACUCAGUAUUACGACCUUUCAUACCAGAAAAAAUCCAUAAAUGCAGUAACAUAAAAAAAAAAAUUAGAACAUUCUGUUGAAAUAUGUUAUGAUGUUUUAGUUAUUUUCCUCAGCAUUUAUCAGCUGAAAUAUCUAUUAUUACUGUCCAGAAUGUGAGUAAAAGGAAUAUUAGAGAAAUAGGUAAGAAUACAGAAAAUUUAAUAUUCUAGAUGUUAGGCCUCCCACAAUCAGUCUCAUUAUAGGUAACUACUGAGUGUUUCUAUUGGGGACACAAAAUGUACUACAACUACUACAUUACUACACCUUUCAUGUUGAAACAGAGUAUAAAAUGUGAAGAAUGAAAGCACAAUCUAAUUAAUUCAUGCAAACCAUCCAUGUUUUGUAGUAGAUUAUUUAAGAUGCCUGAGUUUGAUUCAAGAAAUGGCACUGCAUCCCAUGUGUUCCAGGUCUUAUUUUUUCUAGUAGACUAACUGACAAUACUCAAAGGGUGUGAAAAUAGUUUUAAUGAUAUAAUCUGUCUCACAGUGAAAAAUACAUGAUAUCUGCAGUUGACACCUGGAAAGAGUUACCUUGGACUGUCAAACAGAAUUAAAAUAUCUUAUAAUAAGAUUAGUUGGAAAAUCUAGCACUUGGCAAAGCCAGGCUAUCCAAAUGAAGUAUUGCUGUUAUCAUGAAGUGUAUUGACAGAAUAUCACAGACAUUUUGAAAGUUGGGACAAGCUUAAGGACAUAAGCGAUGUGAAUAGCUGUUGCCCAAUGUUAUGUUCACAUGUUUUUCUGGUUCAAAGCAGUACAGUUAUGAAGCUGUUCCUGGCAGUAUGAGGGUCCAGUUCUAAUAUGAAAUCAGUAUCUAACACAGACCUUUGAGGUAUAAUUUUUUUUUCUGGAAGCAGUACUAUAUGGAUUGCUUAAUCUAGUAAUUUAGUCGUGUACUUUUUACGCUGGGUUGUUUAACAUUUGCUUUGUACAGAAAACAGUAGGAAAUGCAAAGCUUAUACAAAAGACAAAGCCAAAUUUAAGUAGAUUUGUUAUGACUGUACAGGUAUAACAACCUUUCCAGGAGGAAGGUUUUGUGGUUUAAUCCACCAGGCAGCUGAACACUAGACAGCCAUCCCAGUUGGAUGGUGGGGAGAAUUGGGAAAAAAGGUAAAUUUUGGUACUCUUUAUGGAUUGAGAUAGAGAAAGUUUAAUAGGACAGAAAAGGAGGGGAAAAUAACAGUAAUAAUAACAAUAAAAGAAUAUACAAGGCAAGUGAUGCAUGAUGCAAGUGCUCACCACCUGCCAAUCAAUGCCCAGCCUGUCCCUGAGCAGUGGACUCCUAGCCAGCUUUCACCCUAGUUUAUAUACUGAGCAUGAUGCCAUAUAGUAUGAAAUAUCCCUUCGGUCAUUUGGGGUCAGCUGUAACACUGUGUGUCCCCCCAACAUCUUGUGCACUCCCUGGUGGGGUGGUGUGAGAAACAGAAAGGGCUUUGACUCUGUAUAACCACUGUUCAGCAGUAACUAAAACAUCACUGUGUUAUCACAGAAUCACGGAAUGUGUCCAGGCAGGUUUUGAAUGUCUCCAGAGAAGGAGAAGGCAUUAUUCUCAUCCUUAAUCCAAAACACAUGACUAUACCAGCUACUAGGAAGAAAACUAACUCUAUCCCAGGCAAAACCAGGACAUAAAGCCAUUUUACCGAGGUAUGGUGUGGUCUCCAGUAGUAGCAAAUGGCCUGAAUCUAUGGUUAAUCCUGAGUUAAAAGAAAAAUAACUACAAUUUUUGGUACUCUAACCUCUGGAAACCAUCCCCAUGUGAGGUUGGUAAUCCUUUAUUUAUUUGUUUUGAACAGGUUUGAACAAUUGACUGAUUUUAUCCAUUCUAAGAUUCAGUAAUGUUACAAAAUCAUGAAAAAUGUCAAGCCUAGUUACUGUGUCUCUGUAACUGGUAUGAUGUGAAGCUUCAGAAUGAAGCUGGUUAGCAGCUAGAUAGCAGACUAAUUAGUAGGGCUGUUGUAGUCCAUCAGAUGCUAAGAGAUGUUUACUGGAGACACUCAUGAUAUUUGCAGGGAAAGGUAAGCAGACAGAGAGAUGCAGAAACCCAACAUUUAUAUUAUAUUGCAAGGGUUAAAUACAUUGCACUGCUAUAACAUAUGGACAUCCACAAUGAGGGUAAAGUUAUUAACUAAUCUGUGGCAGAUGUGUGACAGAAGUUGACAAUCAGAAGUGAAAUGCAUUAUAUGUUUUAGAAAGGACAGACCAAAUCUGUAUCUGAAAAGCUGAAGCACGGAAAGGUUUAAAGCAGAACUCAUGAUAAGUUUUGGGAUGUGAAAAUCAAGUGGUCAGCACUGUUAGUCACCCUCCUGGUGGGGCUGCUCUGCCACUGGGUGCAGAGGCCUGGGAGAGGAUGUCACAUUCCCAAGGAUGUGGCAGUUUGCUCCUCCAUCCUUUUGAAAAAGAAACACUGUAACACUGAAGGCCAGUAACAAAAACCUCUGCCGUGGAAUUUAAUUUUCUUUCCUACACCUCUGUAUAACUGGGUAUGUGCAGUCUCAGUUCUCUCCAACACUUUUAGCCAGAGUUAAUUUUUAGAAUUGUUUUUUGAUAUGGGAGUUAACACUGGGUAGGUGUAUAUUUGCAAGGAUGCUAUCUAAAGUAUGGUAACUGGAGGAGGUUUAUGCCUGUGUUUUAUUGAGCAUUACCUUCUGUAUACCUGAAGAUUUCAUCAGGCAAAUGGAGAACAUUCUGGAAGAUUCAGCCUUAUUUCCAAAUUAGCAUUCUGAUGUAGCCUGCUGUACGUACUGGUAAGCAAUGUAACUGAGAUCUGCUCUGUGCUAAUGGCAUUAAUCAGAAUAAUUUCCCUGAAAUUUUGAUGUAUUAUUAUGUUUGCCACCUAUUAUUGCUUAUUGCUAGCUUUCUUUUAAUACAAGAAUAGAUACUUUUAAAAUUAAUCUUUGUCCCUUUGAUAACGGUAUUAAAUGCUAGUAGACAAUCAUUCUCCAGUGAAAAAACAUAUGCUUAAUACGCUGUAUUAGACAGGUUAAUACGUUUUUGCAUUAUACAACAUGAAAGUUUAUUACUAUGGUGACAUUAAUGCAUGUAGAGUAAUGUUCUCCAAACCAGUCGUUACCAACAGAUAAAGGCUGAUUUGGUAAUUGCAACCCUAAGGCAGAAUCAAGGGGUGUUAUUGCACUAAAACUGUUAACUGUAGGAUGGAUGGUGGAGACCAUAAUAUUCUGCUACUAAAGGGGGGCAUCACACUGCCCAAAUUUCAUGUGAGGCCCUGUUGAUGACGAACUGUGCAAACACCUGCUUUGUUGGUUCCUUGGAUAUCUAAAGGCAGCAGAUUAUUGCCAGGCCUCUAGCUAAGGGUCUGUCAAGCUACCUCUUAUAGACCUUGCCUUGGAUGUUGACUGGAGAAACAACUUUUUGAUUAAUAAAAGACUAAUGUAGUCAGAAGGAGCAGUCAACAAUAAUAUUGGGCCUCAAACCUGGUUGGCUACUGAGCUCAGAGACAGCCAUUGUGAAGCACACUGGAGGACCUUUCUAGGCUCCUUUUCUUUGAGAUGACAGACUGGACAUCAGUGACGUUGAUCAAGACACAGCUCUUUUAACACCAGAAUGUGUUCCGUGGUGAGACAGGCAGGAGGUGCAGCUAGCACAGAACAUGGGAAUGCACCACAGAUUUACUUUUCCCUCCAUAUUUUUUCCUGUGUGACAUUGCCAACUCAACACGCAAUAAAUGCCCCUGUCACAGAAGGUACAUGUUUUUACGUCAGUUCAGCUGGCAACUGUAUUCUGAAGCAUCUGAGGAGCAUUUUAAGUUCAUAAUGGACAUAUUACCAAAAUGCUGCUAUAAAUGGUAGUUGCUUGUGGCAGAUGCACUUCCUUUCUCUGCCUCCCCACAAAGUACCAGAAGCUUCUAGGGCAAUGAACCACUAGGAUAAUGCACAGGGCCAUUGGUCAGUAGACAGGGCCCUUGACCAAAGAGACGCCUUGGUUGAGUGAAGUUUCUGGACCACCACCAUAAAUGACCACAGCUCAGAUUCAACUAGGGUAUAAAUGGAGCUCACUUGGACACAUCCAUUGAGUUGGUCUUUCUUGGAGCAGUGGGUCUGCAGUGGAAGACUUUCCUUCUUAGACUGGGAUGUCAUCUAAGGAACAUUCCUCAAGGACUGAGACAGCUUGCCUUAUUGGUAAGCGAUCUUCUGCAUACCCUUGAGACUUUUCACUUUGCAUGAGUGUGAAGACAAGCAUUUUGAAUCAUUCUUCUGGAGUUUUGGGAUCUCUUGUGUCUGAAUUGGCUGUGUAGUGACUGAACACCUAACUGGUCUCCAAAUCUGUGUUUUAUAAUGCUGCACUGCUGAAUAAGUUUGGAUAAAUCCCAUUUCUAGUUUGUUCUCUCCUAAAUAGUUCUGGUUAGAAUAAAGACUGUUUGGAGCUCAUCACCUGCCUAAAUUGAUUUCUGAGGUGCCUGCAUGACAUUGUGUUACUAAAUCUCUUUAGAUUAAAAAUUCCAAGGUGAAGUGAGUUUUACAAGUCACUCACUGCAAACAAAGUUUCUACUACAAUUUGUAUAAUUAUCUGAAAGCACUUUCUGGAAUGCUGUGAUUAAAGAGUGAUUAAACACCAAACCAAACCAAAAACAAUGAUAAAAAAAUUCUGUAGUUUAAGACUUGCAAAAAUGCUUAUCAAGAUAUGGUCUGAUUUACUUUCUUUGUUUUUGCCAAUGGAAGGUCUACAAAUCCACCUGUAGUCACUGCACCUGCCUCCUUCAAACCAUGACCAGCUUAGUGCUGAAACCCUCCUAUGGAGGUGGUCUGGUUUUAGAUUCUUUCUUCUAGGGAGAGGAAAGCUGAUGGUGGUGACAGAUGAGGGUAUUGUUGCCUGUGGGAUUAUGAACAAGGCAAGAACACCCCACUGCCUACCUACAACAACCCAGCUUUGGAUGAAAUCUAUGGCUUGGAGUUGGGGUUGGACUUGCUUCCCAGCUGCACUGUCCAGCUUCUCUUGUUGCCUUUCAUUGAAUGCUGUGUUUUUUUCAACAUGAGAAAAAUGCAUGAGGUUUGGGCUGGAACUCAGAAGGACUGAGCCCUGUGCUGUGCCAGUUAAUCACAGCUGCCUGGCAGUGGGUGGUCUCUGAACUGCUGUCAUGAAUUUCUGCAGGUUGAAACUGCUCCUAGAGGGUGGAUUUACACUAAGGGUUUCAUGAUUGCUGUUCUUGGUACCAUUCAUGCUGGUGAAAUAAAAGCAUGUCUUUAAAAGGUGAUAGCAGAGCUGAAAUGAACUAAUUACAGCUUCAAAAUGAAUAUUUGUGGAAAAUGGACUCCACUAUUCACCUAACAGUUCUUCUCACCCAUCUCUCUACUGACGCCUAGACAUUCAGUCCUACUUUGGUCAUCAUGUGCAGUUUUUUAUCCAGGAAUGCACUUUUCUUUCCACUUUUAUUCACUGAAUCUACUGUGUUGUACUUCGAGAAGAACUUGUCCCUUUUAUAGGAGAUCAAAUGAGGCUCAUAUAUAAUAGGUAGGUGAAAAGAACAAGGUAUGGCCUUGGAGGGUCCUAACCCUCAAUCUAUACACCGAUAAUGUCCAGGGAUCCUUAACCUGAGCCUGAAUGUUCAGAAGUUCCUGCAGAGCUCUGGCAUCAUGCCCAAGUAAUUUAUGUUAAUACUAUUUCUGGAGUUAUUCUAUCUUAUUCUUUUAUGUCUCUGUGUUUGAGAGUGCUUCACCUUCAUUAUCUUUAGAGAUCAACACUAAACUAGACAUUUCCUCCCUGUUCUCUCUGUGAAACCAAAACAAAUAAAUCACUUAGCUUCUUUGCUGUGUCUUUAGUGUCCUUACUGUGUUAUUUUUAAUCAUUUUGACCUUGUAAACCCAAUGACUUUUACAAGGGUCUUGAUAUAUACUUAAGCAAUUCCUCUGUAACAGCAAUAUAUUUAAGUAAAGUUAUAUUAUUUUAUUGCACACUGUCUUUUUUGCACAUCUUUUGAAGUGUUUUCACAGCCUUACCAGUAUUUCAGCUAAGUGACUUUGUAUUAUGUCUGUCAAGGAUAGAAUUCAAGUGCUAUGUCUAUAUAUUAAGUGUUAUCUCUGAACUUGAAGAUAAUAUGCUUUAUCAUUUUUGAGUAUUCAUUAGGUAAUAAAUAAAAAUUGAUAAUUACAAAUUUGAAGAAUCUGUUUAUUUCCACUGAGUCUACUGCACAGAUAUGUUUUGGAAUUAUUUCCAUAUGUUUAUGACAUCAAUUUAGUGUGAGAUCUUUCAGAGACUCAUUGUCUUUAUAGUUCAUUUUAUCUAAAGGACUUUUGUUCUUCUACAGUUUUACUAGUUCAAAAUAAAACUGUUAUGCUUUUGUAUUUCCCUAUCACAAGCAAUAAGCACAAAUACAGCAUAUUAUAUUUCAAUAUGGGGCAAAAGAUUAAAUUCCAGCCAGUUUACAUCCAAAAAAAUGUUGAAGGAUCCAAGCUUUGUCUGAAAUGAUGGCUGUAGUAUUUUUAAACCAAAAUAUAUUGCAUAGAUUUUCACAUUUGAGAAAUUUUACUCUGAAAACUGUAAGCCAUAUAAAUUCAAAGCCUGAGAAUUUACGGUCAAGAAUUUUCAAUUGAGUUUCAUUUUCCAAAGGGUACAAUCCAAUAUUGUUGAAAUAUUUCCAUUUCUGUGGGGGGAAAAAAAAAAAAAAGUUUUCAUUUAAUCUUCUGUGAAGCUUUCAAAUAAUUACAUUUCAGGAGAUUCGGGGUUUAUUUUCCAUAGCACUCUCCAAAGGAGAUAUGUGUAUUGUCACACAUUUAUCUCCUUUCAUCUUUGGGAGAAUGGCAAUCUCUUGCAGGCUUUUCUAACCUCUGGUGCAUCUAUGAGACAGCAGCAGUGGUACCCAAUGUUACAUGGCUUUGGUGAAUGCCCAGGAGUUUUAGGAAGACAAGAAUGUAAAGCACCUUUACAUAAUAAACAAGCCUCUGUACCUCC